rnacentral:rRNA from 1 species
CCUACGGGAGACAGCAGUGAGGAAUAUUGGUCAAUGGGCUUACGCCUGAACCAGCCAAGUCGCGUGAGGGAAGACUGCCCUCUGGGUUGUAAACCUCUUUUGUCAGGGAGCAACGCCGGCUACGUGUAGCCGGACUGAGAGUACCUGAAGAAAAAGCAUCGGCCAACUCCGUGCCAGCAGCCGCGGUAAUACGGAGGAUGCGAGCGUUAUCCGGAUUGAUUGGGUUAAAAGGGUGCGUAGGCGGAAUGCCAAGUCAGCGGUAAAAUCGCGGGGCUCAACCUCGCUCCGCCGUUGAAACUGGCGUUCUUGAGUGGGCGAGAAGUAUGCGGAAUGCGCGGUGUAGCGGUGAAAUGCAUAGAUAUCACGCAGAACUCCGAUUGCGAAGGCAGCAUACCGGCGCCCAACUGACGCUGAAGCACGAAAGCGUGGGUAUCGAACAGGAUUAGAUACCCCAGUAGUC